rnacentral:rRNA from 1 species
ACGGUAACAGGAGAGAAGCUUGCUCCUCCUUGCUGACGAGUGGCGGACGGGUGAGUAAUGCUUGGGAAUCUGCCUAUAGAUGGGGGAUAACCAUUGGAAACGAUGGCUAAUACCGCGUAAUAUCGAGAGAUUAUAGAGUGCUUUUAGUACUUGUCUAUAGAUGAGCCCAAGUGAGAUUAGCUAGUUGGUGAGGUAAUGGCUCACCAAGGCGACGAUCUCUAGCUGGUUUGAGAGAAUGACCAGCCACACUGGAACUGAGACACGGUCCAGACUUCUACGGAAGGCAGCAGUGGGGAAUAUUGGACAAUGGGGGCAACCCUGAUCCAGCCAUGCCGCGUGUAUGAAGAAGGCCUUAGGGUUGUAAAGUACUUUCGGUAAUGAGGAAGGUAAUUAUUGAAGGAUAGUUGCUUGACGUUAGUUACAGAAGAAGCACCGGCUAACUCCGUGCCAGCAGCCGCGGUAAUACGGAGGGUGCGAGCGUUAAUCGGAAUUACUGGGCGUAAAGGGCACGCAGGCGGAUUGGCAAGUUAGAUGUGAAAGCCCCGAGCUUAACUUGGGAAUUGCAUUUAAAACUACUAAUCUAGAGUUGUUUAGGGAGGGGGUAGAAUUUCUCGUGUAACAGUGAAAUGUGUAGAGAUGAGAAG